rnacentral:lncRNA from 1 species
UUUUAAUUAAUAAGAUAUUUUAUAAUAUGAGUUUAAAUAAACACCGCAGAAAUAAAUACAGGCUGACAUCGAUGUGUCAUAAGUCACGAGCGUCUACUAGGGUCUAACUACAACUGAAGAGUCUAAAAUGUAUUGAGUACGGAUAAAUGAAAUAAAGAUGGAGAAAAGCAGUUUUUCGGACGCCAUCAGCUACCUUGCUAAGCUCCAAUAACUCUCCCUCUGAUCCGCCAAAACCCGCUACUGGGUGUGUAAAUACCUGAAUCUGCAGACAAGGUGCAGGGAGUAAAGCGAGUACUCUAACUUAGUGAGUAAUAAAGGUAUAGUAAGAAAUCACGUAACGCAUAUCAACAUGUUGUAUAGAAUCAGUAUAAAACCAUUUAAGAAAGCAAUGAAGCUGUAAAAUCUAUUAAAAAUCUCUUAGCUCAAUUCAAACCUCUUUUGAAAAUGACUUUUAAACAAUUAUGCAAAUGAAUGAAAAUCAGUUAGUGAGGAUAAGUACAGACAAUAUGCCCCUCGGGCAGAAAUACCAUAAUUUAACGGGUGAAAUGACAAGUAAAUAGGAACGAUAAACACAUAAACGCUCUCCCAUCGGGCACAAUGUCAACAACUCUGCCCCUCGAUCAAUAUCUUAGUAAAAUACCAGCCCCUCGGGUAAUCACAUAGAACGGUACCAGUCCAUCGGGCAAUCACAUAGAACAAUACCAGCCCCUCCGGCUAUUUUAUAGUAUAAUAUCAGCCCCUCGGGCUAUAUCUCACAUAAUAAUGGGUACCUGCGCUCACUGGGGUUGUACAGACUCCAAGAGGGGCCCCUUACGACCCAAGCGCAAUAUCAAGCCAUCUCAUGGCAUCAAAUCUAGGCCCUCGGCCUCAUAUCAAUCAAGCCACCUCGUGGACUAUAUAUCUCAGGCCCUCGGCCUCAUAAACAAUAUCAAUAAGCCACCUCAUGACAUGCAUAUCUUAGGCUUUGGCCUUAAAUCAGUAUCAGUGUUUUCUCACAAUUAGGCCCUCGACCUUACUUAGUCAAAAAUACUCACAAGCCCCUAGGGCAUUAGUAAAACAACAUCAUUUAAGUCUCAAAAGUCAGGAAAAUGGGUGAGUAGCAAAACAAUGUAAAAUAAUAUGACUGAGUUUAAUUAAUAAGUCAAAACAGUGAGGAAAUAGCAAUAAAUAUCCCCGAAGGUUUCAAAUAGUUGGCACGAAGCCCAAAUAUGGCAAUCAGCCAAAAUUAUGAUGAUAACAAAAAAGUUUCGUUCAAAUAUACAGUAAAAUCAUCAAUCGGGACAUACCAAGUCACAAUCCCCAAUAGUACAUGACCCCACGCUCAUCAUCAAGCGUGUGCCACUACUAUGUGCAAAUCCAAGGUUUCAAACCCUCGGAGUAUCAUUUACAAUCAUUACUCACCUCGAACUGGUUAAAUCUCAAGCUCGCAACGCCUCUGCCCCUCGAAUCGGCCUCCAUGUGCGUCGAAUCUAUCCAAAAUCAGAAUGAAUAUGUUACGAUAUGUUAAGGGAAAAAAACCCAAGUGAAAACAAUCGAAAAAAUACCAUUAGAGCCACGAUCUCAGUAACCUAACUUUCCAUCAUGGUUUGAUAUGACUCGAGGCUGAACCUUGGCCCAUCACAUCCUGGUCUCGAUUAGUCGUACAAAAAGGCAAAUCCAAUUUUUACCGUAUACAAUUAAGUUACUUAAAACAUAUUACAAAUAACUGUCCGUAACCAGUGAAACCAGCUACGAUUCCUC